CGCAGUGUGAUGAUAUCUGCAGNUUCGCCUUACGGCUCAGUAACACGUCGAUAAUCUGCCUUUGGUCUGGGAUAACCCUGGGGAAACUGAGGCUAAACCGGGAUAGAGGAUUCUGUCUGGAACGGUAUAUCCUUGAAAAGCAGUGCCCAAAGAUGAGUCGGCGGCUGAUUAGGUUGUUGGUGGGGUAACGGCCCACCAAGCCUUAGAUCAGUAGGGGCCUUGAGAGAGGGAGCCCCGAGAAGGGCACUGAGAUACUGGCCCUAGCCCUACGGGGUGCAGCAGGCGCGAAAACUCUACAAUGCACGAAAGUGUGAUAGGGGAACCCUAAGUGCCUAUGCAUAGCAUAGGCUUUUGCCAAGAGUAAAUAUCUUGGCGAAUAAGUGGUGGGUAAGACUGGUGCCAGCAGCCGCGGUAACCCCAGCGCCACAAGUGGCAGCCACAAUUAUUGGGCCUAAAGCGUCCGUAGCCGGUUUAGUAAAUCUUUUGUGAAAUCAUCGCGCUCAACGCGAUGGCGUGCAGGAGACACUGCUAGACUCGGGACCGGGAGGAGUCAGGGGUAUUCCAGGGGUAGCGGUAAAGUGUUGUAAUCCUUGGAGGACCACCUGUGGCGAAGGCGUCUGACUAGAACGGAUUCGACGGUGAGGGACGAAAGCCAGGGGAGCGAACCGGAUUAGAUACAGCUUUUUGUGUUCUGCUUAUUGGCAGAAGCAGAGAUCUGAUAACCUCAAGUGCAAUAUUUUUCUUGCGAAAAAAAAUUGCAUGGACUAUGUUCGCAAAUACUAUUGUAGUCCAAGAGGAGUCUUUGGUCUUGUAUCAUAAAAAGCUGCUAAUUACCCGAGUAGUCCUGGCUGUAAACGCUGCGAGCUAGGUGUUGCGUAUUCUUAGUGAGU
rnacentral:rRNA from 1 species